GACGAACGCUGGCGGCGUGCUUAACACAUGCAAGUCGAACGGAAAGGCCCCAGCUUGCUGGGGUACUCGAGUGGCGAACGGGUGAGUAACACGUGGGUGAUCUGCCCUGCACUCUGGGAUAAGCCUGGGAAACUGGGUCUAAUACCGGAUAGGACCGUGCUUUAGUGUGUGCGGUGGAAAGAUUUUCGGUGCAGGAUGAGCGCGCGGCCUAUCAGCUUGUUGGUGGGGUAAUGGCCUACCAAGGCGGCGACGGGUAGCCGGCCUGAGAGGGUGUACGGCCACAUUGGGACUGAGAGACGGCCCAGACUCCUACGGGAGGCAGCAGUGGGGAAUAUUGCACAAUGGGCGCAAGCCUGAUGCAGCGACGCCGCGUGGGGGAUGACGGCCUUCGGGUUGUAAACCCCUUUCGGCAGGGACGAAGCUUUUGUGACGGUACCUGCAGAAGAAGCACCGGCUAACUACGUG
rnacentral:rRNA from 1 species